AUGCUCUGCACCAGAACCAGCCCGCUGAACUGGGGCCAGCAGCCUCUCGAGACCUCUCCGCGGCUCCCACGGGCCACGUCGAUGACGUCACGUCCGCUCCCAGGAGUCGCUUCCCACGGGCUUGACGAACAGCAUGGAUUCCUAAACCCACAGGGCAGAGGUUGCUCCGGGGGCCGCGGCGGGGCGCUAUUCGGAGUCAGCUGGGACAAGUGGUCUAGGCGGGGCGGAGGGGAAUGGCGCGAGUCCCAAUCAGCAGCCAGGCCUCACUGGCAGUGGCACUCCCAACCACCUUUUCGGACUGCUACUGCAGUGGCCGCAGCCUUAAAAAAAAGGCCCAGCUGCUCUGAGACGUCGCUUCCGGAUGAGAGGUGUAGAUGUCCCUCAGCUGACUGUCAUCAGUAUAUGUGAUGUGAGCUCACUGAUCAGUGACCUUUGUGACCAGCCUGGUAGGAUAGAGCUUAUACAUGGAAGCCCCAAAAUUACAGAACACCUGUGUGCAAAAGACUGGACAGCGCUGACUGACCCACUUAUAUGGCUGCGACACAGACUCCUUUUUCCCUGGCAUCCUAGAAGGUAGGUGGAUACUUUCUAGCACUCUUUGCCUUGCAUAGGGCUCAGUCAUUUACCCAUGAGAAUUUACCAUUUCUGGAAAAGCAUCACAGUAUGACAUGUUAUCAUUAAAGGAAUCCUGUUCUUUAAAACAGAAAUUAUCUUCAUAGGAAUGUUCCCUA
rnacentral:lncRNA from 1 species